UGAGGAAUAUUGCACAAUGGGCGAAAGCCUGAUGCAGCAACGCCGCGUGAGGGACGAAGGCCUUCGGGUCGUAAACCUCUUUUCUGGGGAAAGAGACAGGACGGUACCUCAGGAAUAAGUCUCGGCUAACUACGUGCCAGCAGCCGCGGUAAAACGUAGGAGGCGAGCGUUAUCCGGAUUUACUGGGCGUAAAGCGCACGCAGGCGGUUCCGUUAGUCGGACGUGAAAGCUCCUGGCUUAACUGGGAGAGGCCGUUCGAUACUGCGGGACUUGAGGUUGGAAGAGGGGUGUGGAAUUCCCGGUGUAGUGGUGGAAUGCGUAGAUAUCGGGAGGAACACCUGUGGCGAAAGCGGCACCCUGGUCCACACCUGACGUUGAGGUGCGAAAGCGUGGGUAGCAAACAGG
rnacentral:rRNA from 1 species